rnacentral:rRNA from 1 species
GAGAGUUUGAUCCUGGCUCAGAUUGAACGCUAGCGGGAUGCUUUACACAUGCAAGUCGAACGGCAGCGCGAGAGAGCUUGCUCUCUUGGCGGCGAGUGGCGGACGGGUGAGUAAUAUAUCGGAACGUGCCCAGUAGCGGGGGAUAACUACUCGAAAGAGUGGCUAAUACCGCAUACGCCCUACGGGGGAAAGGGGGGGAUCGCAAGACCUCUCACUAUUGGAGCGGCCGAUAUCGGAUUAGCUAGUUGGUGGGGUAAAGGCUCACCAAGGCAACGAUCCGUAGCUGGUUUGAGAGGACGACCAGCCACACUGGGACUGAGACACGGCCCAGACUCCUACGGGAGGCAGCAGUGGGGAAUUUUGGACAAUGGGGGAAACCCUGAUCCAGCCAUCCCGCGUGUAUGAUGAAGGCCUUCGGGUUGUAAAGUACUUUUGGCAGAGAAGAAAAGGUAUCCCCUAAUACGGGAUACUGCUGACGGUAUCUGCAGAAUAAGCACCGGCUAACUACGUGCCAGCAGCCGCGGUAAUACGUAGGGUGCAAGCGUUAAUCGGAAUUACUGGGCGUAAAGCGUGUGUAGGCGGUUCGGAAAGAAAGAUGUGAAAUCCCAGGGCUCAACCUUGGAACUGCAUUUUUAACUGCCGAGCUAGAGUAUGUCAGAGGGGGGUAGAAUUCCACGUGUAGCAGUGAAAUGCGUAGAUAUGUGGAGGAAUACCGAUGGCGAAGGCAGCCCCCUGGGAUAAUACUGACGCUCAGACACGAAAGCGUGGGGAGCAAACAGGAUUAGAUACCCUGGUAGUCCACGCCCUAAACGAUGUCAACUAGCUGUUGGGGCCGUUAGGCCUUAGUAGCGCAGCUAACGCGUGAAGUUGACCGCCUGGGGAGUACGGUCGCAAGAUUAAAACUCAAAGGAAUUGACGGGGACCCGCACAAGCGGUGGAUGAUGUGGAUUAAUUCGAUGCAACGCGAAAACCUUACCUACCCUUGACAUGUCUGGAAAGCCGAAGAGAUUUGGCCGUGCUCGCAAGAGAACCGGAACACAGGUGCUGCAUGGCUGUCGUCAGCUCGUGUCGUGAGAUGUUGGGUUAAGUCCCGCAACGAGCGCAACCCUUGUCAUUAGUUGCUACGCAAGAGCACUCUAAUGAGACUGCCGGUGACAAACCGGAGGAAGGUGGGGAUGACGUCAAGUCCUCAUGGCCCUUAUGGGUAGGGCUUCACACGUCAUACAGUGGUCGGGACAGAGGGUCGCCAACCCGCGAGGGGGAGCCAAUCUCAGAAACCCGAUCGUAGUCCGGAUCGCAGUCUGCAACUCGACUGCGUGAAGUCGGAAUCGCUAGUAAUCGCGGAUCAGAAUGUCGCGGUGAAUACGUUCCCGGGUCUUGUACACACCGCCCGUCACACCAUGGGAGUGGGUUUCACCAGAAGUAGGUAGCCUAACCGCAAGGAGGGCGCUUACCACGGUGGGAUUCAUGACUGGGGUGAAGUCGUAACAAGGUAGCCGUA